rnacentral:rRNA from 1 species
AUUGAACGCUGGCGGCAGGCUUAACACAUGCAAGUCGAGCGAGCGGCGGAAGGGUGAGGAAUGUCUGGGAAACUGCCUGAUGGAGGGGGAGAACUACUGGAAACGGUAGCUAAUAACGCAUACCAUCAGAUGUGCCCAGAUGGGCUUAGCUAGUAGGUGGGGUAAUGGCUCACCUAGGCGACGAUCCUUAGCUGGUCUGAGAGGAUGACCAUCCACACCGGAACGGUGACACGGUCCAGACUCCUACGGGAGGCAGCAGUGGGGAAUAUUGCACAAUGGGCGCAAGCCUGACGCAGCCAUGCCGCGUGUGCGAAGAAGGCCUUCGGGUUGUAAAGCACUUUCAUCGAGGAGGCGUUACUCGCAGAAGAAGCACCGGCUAACCCCGUGCCAGCAGCCGCUGUAAUAC